AAACUACGUUAAUCAGUGUAAACUGCACAAUAGCAGAACACUUGAACUUCGAACGCACAUUGCGGCUAAAGGGUAACUCCUUUAGCCUUAUCUGCGUGAGGGCUGUAUAGCGAUAUUCAAGCAGUGACUAGGGAGUGAUCACUUUACCGUGAGACUCCGCAGAGUGAACCUCGCUAGUGGUCGGAUGACUGCUGACGUCUCAGGCAGGCACGACCGCGGGUUAGCGAAGUACUGAAACACACACUCACUCAACAGCCUCACGUCAGGUAAGAUCACCCGCUGAACUUAA
rnacentral:misc_RNA from 1 species